CGCUGGCGGCACGCCUAACACAUGCAAGUCGAACGAAGUAGUAAUACUUAGUGGCAGACGGGUGAGUAACAUGUAGGUAUCUGCCCUUUGGCCUGGAAUAACACGAGGAAACUUGUGCUAAUACCGGAUAAGUCUUUACGGAGAAAGCUUUAUGCACCAUUGGAUGAGCCUGCACUUGAUUAGUUAGUUGGUAGAGUAAUAGCCUACCAAGACUUUGAUCAAUAGCUGAUUUGAGAGGAUGAUCAGCCACAUUGGGACUGAGACACGGCCCAAACUCCUACGGGAGGCAGCAGUGGGGAAUCUUGCACAAUGGAGGAAACUCUGAUGCAGCGAUGCCGCGUGAGUGAAGAAGGCCCUUGGGUUGUAAAGCUCUUUCGUCGGGGAAGAAAAUGACUGUACCCGAAUAAGAAGGUCCGGCUAACUUCGUGCCAGCAGCCGCGGUAAUACGAAGGGACCUAGCGUAGUUCGGAAUUACUGGGCUUAAAGAGUUCGUAGGUGGUUGAAAAAGUUGGUGGUGAAAUCCCAGAGCUUAACUCUGGAACUGCCAUCAAAACUUUUCAGCUAGAGUUUGAUAGAGGAAAGCAGAAUUUCUAGUGUAGAGGUGAAAUUCGUAGAUAUUAGAAAGAAUACCAAUUGCGAAGGCAGCUUUCUGGAUCAUUACUGACACUGAGGAACGAAAGCAUGGGUAGCGAAGAGGAUUAGAUACCCUCGUAGUCCAUGCCGUAAACGAUGUGUGUUAGACGUUGGAAAUUUAUUUUCAGUGUCGCAGCGAAAGCGAUAAACACACCGCCUGGG
rnacentral:rRNA from 1 species